ensembl:snRNA LOC120094033 U2 spliceosomal RNA
AUCGCUUCUCGGCCUUUUGGCUAAGAUCAAGUGUAGAACUUUUUCUUCCAUUACUAUUGAGUGCUUCACAUGCUCUAUUGGUUGCUAUGACUAAUAUUAGUUAACACACUGCCAGCUUUAUUUUUAUUUUUGCAUAUCAGUCUUGUAACAAAAGCCAAAAAAGUGCUCCCGAUGGAAAAGGAGCAGGUUCUUUUGAAGCAAAGCUGU